rnacentral:tRNA from 1 species
CGGGCCGUAGGCGGCGGCUCCGGCGUGCAGCCGGCGCGCGUACCGGCGGCAGCGGUCGCAGGUGGCGUCUUCCAAUGGCGUGGGCUUGA